rnacentral:tRNA from 1 species
GUUGGUGUAGCUCAGUGGUAGAGUGCAUGCUUAGCAUGCACGAGGUCCUGAGUUCAAUCCCCAGUAUCUCCA